AGCCUGAACGCUGGCGGCGUGGCUAAGACAUGCAAGUCGUGCGGAUGUAGCAAUACAUCAGUGGCGAACGGGAGAGUAAUGAAUCGCUAAUGUACCCCGGACUCUGGGAUAGCUGACCGAAAGGUCAGGUAAUACCAGAUGAUAUAUCCGACAGGCAUCUGUUGGAUCUCAAAGGUCCGCCGGUCUGGGAGCAGGCGUAUUUCGAUCAGUCUAGGUUGGUGAGGUAACGGCUCGACCGAAGGCGAUGCGCGUACGCCGGACGUGAGGAGGUUCGGCCGGUCCUCGACGUUGGGACCUGGAAGACCAC
rnacentral:rRNA from 1 species